rnacentral:rRNA from 1 species
GACGAACGCUGGCGGCGUGCUUAACACAUGCAAGUCGAACGGAAAGGCCCUGCUUGCAGGGUACUCGAGUGGCGAACGGGUGAGUAACACGUGGGUGAUCUGCCCUGCACUUCGGGAUAAGCCUGGGAAACCGGGUCUAAUACCGGAUAGGAGCCAUUUUUAGUGUGAUGGUUGGAAAGUUUUUUCGGUGUAGGAUGAGCUCGCGGCCUAUCAGCUUGUUGGUGGGGUAAUGGCCUACCAAGGCGGCGACGGGUAGCCGGCCUGAGAGGGUGGACGGCCACAUUGGGACUGAGAUACGGCCCAGACUCCUACGGGAGGCAGCAGUGGGGAAUAUUGCACAAUGGGCGCAAGCCUGAUGCAGCGACGCCGCGUGGGGGAUGACGGCCUUCGGGUUGUAAACUCCUUUCGCUAGGGACGAAGCUUUUUGUGACGGUACCUAGAGAAGAAGCACCGGCUAACUACGUG